rnacentral:lncRNA from 1 species
UAGAACAAUUUGAUUGAAAGCUCUAACCCUGCGGCCAGAAGGUGGAACUACUGUGCCUUUGCAGAAACUCUACAUGAAGCUUAUCCACGAAUGGUAUGGAAAGAAAAGGAACUUCAGCAGCUUGGAUGGAUUGGGUUCAUGCGUUCAGUCAGCAGCUCAAGAAAGACCCGGAAAUUGCGAAUUAAACCACGUUUUGCACUGACCUCUAACACUUCUGAACAAACAACUGAUAUCUCGUGCGCUGAAGCACAGCGUGAGCUAAGGGCAAUUUCAGAAACUCUCACAGACCCAGAUCGAAUUGAU